CUUCCAGACUCCUACGGGAGGCAGCAGUGGGGGAUAUUGCACAAUGGGGGAAACCCUGAUGCAGCAACGCCGCGUGAGUGAAGAAGUAUUUCGGUAUGUAAAGCUCUAUCAGCAGGGAAGAAAAUGACAGUACCUGACUAAGAAGCCCCGGCUAACUACGUGCCAGCAGCCGCGGUAAUACGUAGGGGGCAAGCGUUAUCCGGAUUUACUGGGUGUAAAGGGAGCGUAGACGGCUGUGCAAGUCAGAUGUGAAAUUCCGGGGCUCAACCCCGGACCUGCAUUUGAAACUGGUGGUCUUGAGUAGCGGAGAGGCAGGCGGAAUUCCUAGUGGAGCGGUGAAAUGCGUAGAUAUUAGGAGGAACACCAGUGGCGAAGGCGGCCUGCUGGACAUUAACUGACGCUGAGGCGCGAAAGCGUGGGGAGCAAACAGGAUUAGAUACCCUGGUAU
rnacentral:rRNA from 1 species